CAGGCAGGCAUGGUGCAGGAGAGGCUAAGAGUUCUACAUCUUCAUCUGAAGUGCCACUCUCUGGGCCCAGCAUAUACAAACGAUCACAUUCACCAACUUGGACUUGCAUGGAACUGGGUCUGUCAGUGCCCUAUCUGGGAGGAGAAGUCUGUUCACGUCUACCCACAAAAAGCCACACAAGAGAAGCACAGUAACCGGAAUGUUUCUGCAGAUGGAAAUGUGUGGAGUCCUGCCACUCUCUCUACAGCAUCAGUUCCAAGGGUUGAGCUCUGGCCAUUUGGGUUGGCUGCAAGCACCUUUACCUGCUGAGCCAUUUUUUAUGAACCCUGCCUCGGGUUUUUGUUUAAAAUACUUAAUUUCUUUUAAAGAUUUAUUGUAUGUG